GACGUAGGGCGCGAGCGUUGUCCGGAUUUAUUGGGCGUAAAGAGCUCGUAGGCGGUCUGUCGCGUCUGCUGUGAAACUCAGGGCUUAACCCUGAGCUUGCAGUGGGUACGGGCAGACUAGAGUGCGGUAGGGGAGACUGGAAUUCCUGGUGUAGCGGUGAAAUGCGCAGAUAUCAGGAGGAACACCGAUGGCGAAGGCAGGUCUCUGGGCCAGCUACUGACGCUGGAGAAGCGAAAGCAUCGGGGAGCGA
rnacentral:rRNA from 1 species